UACGAAGGGGGCUAGCGUUGCUCGGAAUGACUGGGCGUAAAGGGCGCGUAGGCGGUUUGGACAGUCAGAUGUGAAAUUCCUGGGCUCAACCUGGGGGCUGCAUUUGAUACGUUCGGACUAGAGUGGGGAAGAGGGUCGUGGAAUUCCCAGUGUAGAGGUGAAAUUCGUAGAUAUUGGGAAGAACACCGGUGGCGAAGGCGGCGACCUGGUCAUUGACUGACGCUGAGGCGCGAAAGCGUGGGGAGCAAACAGG
rnacentral:rRNA from 1 species